UACGUAGGGGGGCUAGCGUUGUCCGGAAUCAUUGGGCGUAAAGAGCGCGUAGGCGGCCCGAUAAGUCUGCUGUGAAAAGUCCAGGGCUCAACCCUGGAAUGCCGGUGGAUACUGUCGGGCUAGAGUACGGAAGAGGCGAGUGGAAUUCCUGGUGUAGCGGUGGAAUGCGCAGAUAUCAGGAGGAACACCGGUGGCGAAGGCGGUUCUCUGGGCAUGUCCUGACGCUGAGGUGCGAAAGCGUGGGGGAGCAAACAGG
rnacentral:rRNA from 1 species